GACAAAAACCUUUAUUUAUCAAAAUCAUAAAACUCACGUCCGUAAACACACUCAAAUCUCAUAAGAUGAUGAUGGGCAUUCAUUCUCAGAUAUCUCAAAUCUCAUCUUUUUUUAGAAGCUCGUGUUCUGCUUUGAUGUGCGGUGAUGAUGCUUAUGCGACAGGAUAUUUAGGGGGAUAAGAGAGAGAGAAGCUUUCUGUUUUCUUUCUCAGUAAUGGCUGCUGACUCUGGAGCCCUUCAUGACGGUUCCUAUUGAUUUGACAAGGGAAGGGCUAAUGAUUUGGAUUCUAAAAGUUACUUGAACUGUAACUACUAUCCUGUAGUCCAGCAGCUGAUACUGGAGAGCCUGCGUUAGUUAUUGUAGAUGGAUUUUGUUUCAUCAAUGCUUCCUUCCUCUCUUCUGAGAGGUAGGUGUUCUGUUCGCGGUGAACAUCUUUCUCGUCCUCCCUUGCCAAAGGAAGUGGUAACAUAUUCACAGAUGGAAGAGGUCCUCUGCUUUUUCUCCUUCAACUACAUUUCAAGAAACUCAGGACUCUCUCUCUCUCUCUCUCUCUCUCGUUGACUUGGUUAGUUUCAGUGGGCCUACUGAGCUAGCGUCAGAGCUAAGUUGGGACUGCGGCGAAGAAGGGGAGACGAACAAGUCGGCUGAAACAGAUCCGCAACUUGUUGUUUAUUCAGUACAUUAUUUCACUUGGAGUACCUACCUGUGCUCUCAACAUGGGAGAUGAAUGUGGAGCCUCUGCAAAGGGCUCGCCUUUGUUAGAAGCAAGAAUACCAUUUUGGUUGGAACAUGCCGGCUUCUCUGUUGAAGGAGAAACCAUAAAUUCUACUACUGCUUAGAACUCAUGUUAUGAUGAUCUUUGUAUACUGUGUUAUUAUAUUUCUAGUCAGAAUAUUUAAUCUCAAACCAAUGACUUUCCUCACAGUAUCAGAUAUAUAGUACACUAAUCACAUUUUUAUGCCA